CCUACGGGCGGCUGCAGUGAGGAAUAUUGGACAAUGGAUGGAAAUCUGAUCCAGCCAUGCCGCGUGCAGGAAGAGAGCCCUAUGGGUUGUAAACUGCUUUUAUACGGGAGCAAUAAGGUCUACUUGUAGACUGAUGAGAGUACCGUAUGAAUAAGGAUCGGCUAACUCCGUGCCAGCAGCCGCGGUAAUACGGAGGAUCCGAGCGUUAUCCGGAAUUAUUGGGUUUAAAGGGUGCGUAGGCGGCUCGGUAAGUCAGCGGUGAAAUUUUGCAGCUUAACUGUAACAGUGCCGUUGAUACUGUCAGGCUAGGAUUUGGUUGCAGUGUGCGGAAUGUGUGGUGUAGCGGUGAAAUGCUUAGAUAUCACACAGAACACCGAUUGCGAAGGCAGCACACUAAGUCAUUAUUGACGCUGAGGCACGAAAGUGUGGGGAUCAAACAGGAUUAGAUACCCCAGUAGUC
rnacentral:rRNA from 1 species